GUCUUGGAACAUGGUCACCUGAUGGCCGUCGACCGAUAGUUCUUUAUUUUGGCGGGCUUUAUGAAAGAUCUCCUCUUUCAAAGGGAAGUUAUGUAUUCUGCAUAUAAUGUCUCGUGGCCUGUAUGGGGGUAGAUUUCUGGGCCUUGCUGCUCUGUGGGCUCUGUCGAACUGGAUGGCCGUUUCUGGGGGUCUGGCAAGAAUAUGGUUGAAGAAGGUAGUUAGGAUCUGUAUGUGGUUCUAGGUGGUGCCGUCCGGCCCCUCAGGUAUACCUCUUACCCUCGGGUUAUUUAGUCACCUCCGAUUGUUAACAUCUUCCAG